rnacentral:rRNA from 1 species
GACGAACCGUGCAAACGUUGUUCGGAAUCACUGGGCUUAAAGGGCGCGUAGGCGGCUUGCCAAGUCGGGGGUGAAAUCCAGCAGCUUAACUGUUGAAGUGCCUUCGAUACUGGCAAGCUCGAGGAAGGUAGGGGUGCGCGGAACUUCUGGUGGAGCGGUGAAAUGCGUUGAUAUCAGAAGGAACGCCGGUGGCGAAAGCGGCGCACUGGACCUUUUCUGACGCUGAGGCGCGAAAGCUAGGGGAGCAAACGGG